rfam:Salmo salar isolate Sally breed double haploid chromosome ssa15, whole genome shotgun sequence.
UCCCGUGUGGCUCAGUUGGUAGAGCAUGGCACUUACAACGCCAGGGUUAUGGGUUUGAUUCCUACAGGGGAC